CAGUCUGAGCAAGUCACGAGGAGCAAGCCAGUAAGCAGUACCUUUCCAUGGCCUUUGCAUCAGCUCUUGCCUCCAGGUUCCUGCCCUGUUUGAGUGAUGCACUUCCUUCAGUGAUGGGCUGUGGAUGUGGAAGUGUAAGUCAAAUAAGCCUUUUGCCCCAGUUUACAUCAUAGUAGUAGUACUCCUAUAAGGACAAAUUGGUACCAGGAUAGUGGGGGAUUGCUGUCACAGAUCUGACUAUGUUGCAUUUGGGAGGAUUCCGGAAGAACUUUGGUUCUUUGGGCUAGAAAAGCCAUUGAGCGAGCUCUUCUGUUGGGACUUGGAAGAUAAGAACUGAGAGCAGGCAGAUGAUGGAGGACUGGCUUGUAAAGUUUCAGAGAGAAGGAAUGAUUCUACCUAACUCUUUGCAUGAAGACUCCCUGGUAGCUGAUCAGCUGGAACUGAAGCAUCAGCUGUGGUUAGCAGGAAAAAAGAACCACUCAAUUCAAACCUGUGUUUUGCUCGGACCGUGGUCAGCCGGGGCUGAAGAAUCAGCUGUGAUUAAUAAGAAGCCAGCGUCAAUGAGGUAAAUCUUCUGAGAAAUGUUUCCUCUGAGUCAUCACAUGCAAGCUGUGUUCAUAGGUGGCCAAGGUUGCAUGUACCUUGUGCUGGCAGUCAAACUUUGUUGUGUGUAAGAGUCUCUCAGGUGCCAUUGGCUUUGAAGGCAUGAAGGGUUAUGGAGAAGAGCUGAGGCUUGGUACUCUGAGAGGUCAGGAGAGACUAUUGGCAAAGGUACAGCUGGAUAAGCAAUGGAAGACCCAGGAUUGAAGGGGUCAUGCACAACAGCUGAGACUUUGAACCAUGCAGAGGCUACUGGUGCCUUCAUUAGUCCAGCCCGGCUGCAGUAGAAGACCCCAGCUUUCUGGAGAUGGCAGUGCCAUAGGAUUGCUGCCAAGAACAGCAGCAGCAGUGCAGUGGGGAUGACCCAAGCUUGGAAGAAAAGCUGUGUGUGCUAUAGAGGGAGGAGCUGAAGAAGUGACACAAAUCCCUUGGAGGAGCCCAGAGUAACUGACUCUGCCCAGAUCCCAAACCAGAUGGCAGCUCUGUUGACCAUAGCCACAUCUUUGCUCCGGACAUGGCCAAUCCUCAGAGAACAUGGAAUUCCAGAAGAAGGGAUCAUAAAGUCUUUUGGAACUGACAUGAAACCAAUUCUCUGUAAAGAUGCUGAAAAGAAACCAGUGGGCACUAGAGAGAUGGCUCAGUGGCUAAGAGCAUUUCCUGUUCUUUCUAGAGGACCUACACUUGAUUCCAAACACCCACACUGGACACCUCACUCACUACCACUGGAAACUUCAGCUUCAGGAAAGUGUGCAUGUACACCAAAUGCAUGCCUGGCACCUGAAGAAGUUGCAAGAGGGUGCUGGUGGAGCCUCUGGAAUUGGAUUAUGGAUAGAUGUGAAGCCACCAUGUGGGUGUUCUCUGUAAGAGAAACAUGUGCUCUUAGAACUGGGCCAUCUCCCCAUUGGAUAUACCCUCCUUUUUAAAGAAGUAUCACCACAACCCUUCUAGGAAUUCAGAAGAGAGUGAUACCUUGCUAAGAAGAGAGAGGAUGUUCCCCUUUCCACUGUGAUGCUCACAUACCUUGGGGAUGAUGGGUCACUGCACUUGGUGAUCAUGCCAAUAGUUGCCAACGUAUUUACUGGGGAACACCUCUAUCUUCACUUGCAAUAGAGAUGAUCCGAUUCAAUAACAUCAACUAUUGUCUGCUGCACUGUCAUGUCUGCAUCACACUGUUGUCUAAUAGGGUUUUCGUACUUUUCAAAUCUGUUAUGUCUUAUGCUUGCUGUUUAAAUUUCUGACUAUACCCAAAUAGGUUGAGGACCAGAACAGGCAAAAGUCAUUUCUUAAGAAGGACAACCUCAUGUCAUCUCCCCUCUUUCUGUUAUGCUGCCAAAAUAAUAAAGAAUUCCAUGA